rnacentral:misc_RNA from 1 species
ACGUUGCCUGUGAUGAAAGCAACCACACUGCUGCUCUUAACGACGUGUGUGUGUGUGUGUGUGUGUGUGUCACGGUAGCCUAUGAUCCGUUCUAAUGGACGUUACUCCAAAUGAGGGCAUCACCGUCUCUGCGCUACGGUCGCGACUGAGCGAUCUGCAAACGCUAUGGGGCACGGCGACGAUGGAGGAGGAGUAUCUACCUCACAGUGGCAACGUCACGGCCUCGACGAUACGGACAGCCACAGAAGAACCGCACGACGGAAAUGUAUCUCAUGUAUGCCAACGAGAUCACUGCACACCACACCCUGUGGCGCAGGGGCCUGCGAAGCCGUCAACGCUGCCGCUCAUAUCACCGCGGCCGUUCCAAAGUCACGGCCCACCCACAUUCGCUCUGAUGAAUAAUGAAGGCAGAGAUCAAGCGUGCCACAGCUCCGUGAGUGCCCCACCUGAGCCGCUCGCCCCCGUCGGCAUGUUCUUGACCUCGCACACUCCCUCCACACGAUCAACAGGCACUCCACAAGCUCGACCGCGCUCCGUCGCUAGUACGCCGCCGACUUCGUCGCCUGCUCGCACCUCUCACGAGGCGAUAGCUCUUCCACCCAUUCAAACUCACUUUGUUGGCACCACGGCGGCGACGUGUGCACACUGUGGCGCCAAAGAAGCACGCGCACCAGACGCCCACUGAGGUCGGUGCGGCAAGCGGCUAACAAUCGUCGGGUAAGCUUCAGGUGAAGCGCAGGAAGCCGCUCUGCACAGCCACCCUUUUGGAAUGCCGGUGCAUAAGUGGUAUUCUGUUCUCUGGAGUGGCUCUCCAUCCUUCUUCAUAGCCCUCCUCUCUCUUUCUCCCUCCCCCCUCCCCUCGCAGUUGGAGACGGCGGCGGGUGAUUCGGGGAAGUGGGCACCGUCUUCCUCGUCAUCACUUCCCCUCCUCCGCUUGUUCUGCGCAACAUGUACAUUAGCACUGGCUCGAACGUCUUAUAUAUAUAUAUAUAGUUUUUUUCUGUGCUUGUGAGCGUCUGUGACCCGAGAGCCGCUUCGCACACACCUCAGCGAAUGGGAGGGACGCGUUCGAAUGUGCAUCCUUUUCUCUCUCGUCUCCUUCUCAGUAGGGAAAAGUGCACGCAAAAGCGAGAGCCAUUCGAAGCUCGGCCGGGGGUCGUCUCUCGGAUGGUGCCGAAGCUGUAAAGGCACACGCAGCCCCUCUUGCGCUGUCACCGGUGGUACCUGACUCAGCAUCGGUGUGCGAUGCAACCUCCCUCCCUCCUCUCCUGUGGUGUCGUUUUUUUUUUUCGCACGUCUGCGUCAUCCUCCUGGCAAGUCGCGCUAUCAACCAAAGCGCGCUGGAAAAGCAGCAACGGAGAGAGGAGGAGAGGACGAGCAUGUAGUUCCCUCUGUCCAUCACGCCUGCCCCCUCCCCACCACACACACAAGCCUUUGUCUCGUUCUCUUUAUGGUCCCCCUUGCCUCCCCUCUCUUGCCACACACAUACGCGCGCGCUGCCGGCCACCACGCUUCCUGGCAG